rnacentral:hammerhead_ribozyme from 1 species
AUACAGCUGAUAAGUCCCAAAUAGGACGAAAUGCGCAUCCUGGAA